rnacentral:rRNA from 1 species
GCUUGCUGCUUCGCUGACGAGUGGCGGACGGGUGAGUAAUGUCUGGGAAACUGCCUGAUGGAGGGGGAUAACUACUGGAAACGGUAGCUAAUACCGCAUAACGUCGCAAGACCAAAGAGGGGGACCUUCGGGCCUCUUGCCAUCGGAUGUGCCCAGAUGGGAUUAGCUUGUUGGUGGGGUAACGGCUCACCAAGGCGACGAUCCCUAGCUGGUCUGAGAGGAUGACCAGCCACACUGGAACUGAGACACGGUCCAGACUCCUACGGGAGGCAGCAGUGGGGAAUAUUGCACAAUGGGCGCAAGCCUGAUGCAGCCAUGCCGCGUGUAUGAAGAAGGCCUUCGGGUUGUAAAGUACUUUCAGCGGGGAGGAAGGGAGUAAAGUUAAUACCUUUGCUCAUUGACGUUACCCGCAGAAGAAGCACCGGCUAACUCCGUGCCAGCAGCCGCGGUAAUACGGAGGGUGCAAGCGUUAAUCGGAAUUACUGGGCGUAAAGCGCACGCAGGCGGUUUGUUAAGUCAGAUGUGAAAUCCCCGGGCUCAACCUGGGAACUGCAUCUGAUACUGGCAAGCUUGAGUCUCGUAGAGGGGGGUAGAAUUCCAGGUGUAGCGGUGAAAUGCGUAGAGAUCUGGAGGAAUACCGGUGG